GACGAACGCUGGCGGCGUGCUUAACACAUGCAAGUCGAACGGUAAGGCCCUUCGGGGUACACGAGUGGCGAACGGGUGAGUAACACGUGGGUGAUCUGCCCUGCACUUCGGGAUAAGCCUGGGAAACUGGGUCUAAUACCGGAUAGGACCACUGCCUGCAUGGGGGGUGGUGGAAAGCUUUUGCGGUGUGGGAUGGGCCCGCGGCCUAUCAGCUUGUUGGUGGGGUAAUGGCCUACCAAGGCGACGACGGGUAGCCGGCCUGAGAGGGUGACCGGCCACCCUGGGACUGAGAUACCGCACAGACUCCGACGGGAGGCAGCAGUGGGGAAUAUUGCACAAUGGGCGCAAGCCUGAUGCAGCGACGCCGCGUGAGGGAUGACGGCCUUCGGGUUGUAAACCUCUUUCAGUAGGGACGAAGCGCAAGUGACGGUACCUACAGAGGAAGGACCGGCCAACUACGUGCCAGCCGCCGCGGUAA
rnacentral:rRNA from 1 species